rnacentral:lncRNA from 1 species
GGAAAGCGCUGGCUGGGACUUCACCCUCCUCCUGCAUGUGACGGACACAGCACUGAUCCUGGCAGCUCCUUACCCCCAGCAGCCCGAAACUCACUCCUUAAUUACACAAGGGAAACCUUUUACCUCCGCAGCCAGAGUCUGGGGGGAAAGGCAGGCGUGGGAAGCACUAACUCCCUCUCUGGAUAUCUGGAACAAGGAGGACCUUAAACUUAACAAUAAAGCCAAUGAUGGUUCUACCAGUCUCCCCAAAGCCUCAAGUUUAAAAGCCAUAUGAACUGGCUGAUAGUGGAAAAUGGAAGCCAUGAGGAAAUCAGAUUAGAGUACUACCUGGUGAAGCCUGGAGGACCUACCAAGAAAAGCAAACUUGGAUCUUUGCAAGGUUAGAAGAACGAAUGGGAUCCAAGAAAAAGACUGGUCAUAUUCAACGGCUAAGAGCGUUGGAGAAGGCCUGUGGAGUCUCAGCAGGUCAGGUCCAUGACUCAUGAGUAGACACCUGUGUUUCUACUGCCUGGUGCCAUAAUCAUAAACAAGGAAGAAACUGAGGACAGGAGGGGCCAAACAAGUUACAGUUUCAUCCCUCCAGAGAGCCAACAGAGUAUUUUGCACGAAGUUGAAGCUAAACAGAGUAAUCAGCAAAUGCCUUUCCUUUCUCCUGCUGAUGUUUUGCCCGUACUCAGACCCCUUGACUUCUUAGCUUCUACCCAAAGUGAGCUUGUCAUCAAAGUUCUCCAAAAAUCUGCAGUGUUCUCUUGAGCAAAUCUGCUUUGCUUCAGCUGUCCCUGCUCACUACGGCACUGCACCUCACCAGCAUCUUCAUGGCCCUCACAUGGCUCAUGUGCAUAUCCUAACUCUGAUACUAAGGGAGGAGACCACCCCUCAUAUUGUCUUAUGCCCAAUUUCUGCCUCCAAAGAAAGAAGAAGUAAAAACUAAAAGGCAGAAAUGAAAUCCACAAGCAGACAGCCCGGCGCCACACCCUGGGCCUGGUAGUUAAAGAUCGACCCCUGACCUAAUCGGUUAUUUGCAUAAGAAAAGCACUGUGAAGAUCCCUGUCCUGUUCUGUUCCAUUCUAAUUACCGGUGUAUGCAGCCCCCAGUCAUGUACCCCUGCUUGCUCAAUCGAUCACGACCCUCUCACGUGGACCCCCUUAGAGUUGUGGGCCCUUAAAAGGGACAGGAAUUGCUCACUCGGGGAGCUUGGUU